rnacentral:rRNA from 1 species
UGUAUUUAGUACAGAAUAAAAUUUGAAUAAAAAAAUGUUAAUUUUUUUAAAAAGAAUUAUAAUAACUAUAUUUAAGAAUUAAUCUUCAAUUAAAAAUAGAAAAAUUUUUUAUUAAAAUAUCUUUCAAAUAAAAUUAUAUUUAAAAUUACUUAGAAAUUAAUUAUGUUAAAAUUAGUAUAAAAUAUUAUGUUAAUUUAAGGAACUCGGCUUUCAUCUGUUUAUCAAAAACAUAGUCUUAUGAAAAUAUAAGGUGUAACCUGCCCACUGGUUUUAAAUGGCCGCAGUACUUUGACUGUGCUAAGGUAGCAUAAUAAAUUGACUUUUAAUUGGGGCCUUGAAUGAAAGGAUUAAUGGAUAAUUUCUGUCUUUAAUAAAUAAAUUUAAAUUUACUUAAAAGGUGAAAAUUCCUUUAAUUUAAUAUAAUAGACGAGAAGACCCUAGGAGUUAUUUUGUUGGGGCGACAAUAUAGCAUAACCUAUAUAUUUUUAAUAACGAAAAAUUUUAAUAAUAAUUUAACUACCCUAGGGAUAACAGCAUAAUUUUAAUUAAAGUUUGUGACCUCGAUGUUGGACUAGGAACUUUUAAAGCUAACAGCGUUAA